rnacentral:rRNA from 1 species
GACGGGGGGUGCAAGCGUUAUCCGGAAUCACUGGGUUUAAAGGGUGCGUAGGCGGCGUUGUAAGUCACGGGUGAAAGCCCGCAGCUUAACGGCGGGACUGCCAGUGAUACUGCAGGGCUUGAAAGAGGUUGAGGUAGGCGGAACGUCACGUGUAGCGGUGAAAUGCGUAGAUACAUCGCAGAACACCGGUGGCGAAGGCAGCCGGCUGGGCCUACAUUGACGCUGAGGGACGAAAGCGUGGGGAGCGAACGGG